UGGGGAAUAUUGCACAAUGGAGGGAACUCUGAUGCAGCGACGCCGCGUGAACGAAGAAGGCUUUCGAGUCGUAAAGUUCUUUUAUAUGGGAAGAUAAUGACGGUACCAUAAGAAAAAGCCCCGGCUAACUACGUGCCAGCAGCCGCGGUAAUACGUAGGGGGCUAGCGUUGUCCGGAAUCACUGGGCGUAAAGGGUUCGCAGGCGGAAAUGCAAGUCAGGUGUAAAAGGCAGUAGCUUAACUACUGUAAGCAUUUGAAACUGCAUAUCUUGAGAAGAGUAGAGGUAAGUGUAAUUUUUAGUGUAGCGGUGAAAUGCGUAGAUAUUAAAAAGAAUACCGGUGGCGAAGGCGACUUACUGGGCUCAUUCUGACGCUGAGGAACGAAAGCGUGGGUAGCAAACAGG
rnacentral:rRNA from 2 species